rnacentral:rRNA from 1 species
UAGGGAAUCUUCCACAAUGGACGCAAGUCUGAUGGAGCAACGCCGCGUGAGUGAAGAAGGUUUUCGGACCGUAAAGCUCUGUUGUUGGUGAAGAAGGAUAGAGGUAGUAACUGGCCUUUAUUUGACGGUAAUCAACCAGAAAGUCACGGCUAACUACGUGCCAGCAGCCGCGGUAAUACGUAGGUGGCAAGCGUUGUCCGGAUUUAUUGGGCGUAAAGCGAGCGCAGGCGGAAGAAUAAGUCUGAUGUGAAAGCCCUCGGCUUAACCGAGGAAUUGCAUCGGAAACUGUUUUCUUGAGUGCAGAAGAGGAGAGUAGAACUCCAUGUGUAGCGGUGGAAUGCGUAGAUAUAUGGAAGAAUACCAGUGGCGAAGGCGGCUCUCUGGUCUGCAACUGACGCUGAGGCUCGAAAGCAUGGGUAGCGAACAGGAUUAGAUACCCUUGGUAGUCCAUGCCG